rnacentral:rRNA from 1 species
GGACGGCUCAGUAACACGUGGACAACUUGCCCUUGGGUCCGGGAUAACCCCGGGAAACUGGGGCUAAUACCGGAUGGGACAUCGCUUGCUGGAAUGCAGGAUGUCCAAAAGCUGAGGCGCCCAAGGAUAGGUCUGCGGCCGAUUAGGUUGUUGUUGAUGUAACGGAUCAACAAGCCUACGAUCGGUACGGGUUGUGAGAGCAAUAGCCCGGAGAUGGGUUCUGAGAAAAGAACCCAGGUCCUACGGGACGCAUCAGGCGCGAAAACUUUACAAUGUGCGAAAGCACGAUAAGGGAACUCUGAGUGCCUCCUAAGGAGGCUGUUCAGGUGUCUAAAAAGCACCUGAAGUAAGGGCUGGGUAAGACCGGUGCCAGCCGCCGCGGUAACACCGGCAGCCCAAGUGGUAGCCACUUUUAUUGGGUCUAAAGCGUCCGUAGCCGGUUGAGUGAGUUCCUUGGGAAAUUUGGCUGCUUAACAGUCAAACUUCCAGGGAAUACUGCUCGACUUGGGACCGGGAGGGGC